rnacentral:rRNA from 1 species
AGUGGUGAGUACCCGCGAAGAAACCUGCCUGUAAGACUGGGAUAACUCCGGGAAACCGGGGCUAAUACCGGAUGGUUGUUUGAACCGCAUGGUUCAAACAUAAAAGGUGGCUUCGGCUACCACUUACAGAUGGACCCGCGGCGCAUUAGCUAGUUGGUGAGGUAACGGCUCACCAAGGCAACGAUGCGUAGCCGACCUGAGAGGGUGAUCGGCCACACUGGGACUGAGACACGGCCCAGACUCCUACGGGAGGCAGCAGUAGGGAAUCUUCCGCAAUGGACGAAAGUCUGACGGAGCAACGCCGCGUGAGUGAUGAAGGUUUUCGGAUCGUAAAGCUCUGUUGUUAGGGAAGAACAAGUACCGUUCGAAUAGGGCGGUACCUUGACGGUACCUAACCAGAAAGCCACGGCUAACUACGUGCCAGCAGCCGCGGUAAUACGUAAGUGGCAAGCGUUGUUCGGGAUUAAUUUGGCGAAAAGGGUCCAGGGGGUUCUUUAAAUUUAAAUGUGAAACCCCCGCCUCAACGGGGGGGCAUUGGAAACUGGGGAACUUGAGUGCAGAAGAGGAGAGUGGAAUUCCACGUGUAGCGGUGAAAUGCGUAGAGAUGUGGAGGAACACCAGUGGCGAAGGCGACUCUCUGGUCUGUAACUGACGCUGAGGAGCGAAAGCGUGGGGAGCGAACAGGAUUAGAUACCCUGGUAGUCCACGCCGUAAACGAUGAGUGCUAAGUGUUAGGGGGUUUCCGCCCCUUAGUGCUGCAGCUAACGCAUUAAGCACUCCGCCUGGGGAGUACGGUCGCAAGACUGAAACUCAAAGGAAUUGACGGGGGCCCGCACAAGCGGUGGAGCAUGUGGUUUAAUUCGAAGCAACGCGAAGAACCUUACCAGGUCUUGACAUCCUCUGACAAUCCUAGAGAUAGGACGUCCCCUUCGGGGGCAGAGUGACAGGUGGUGCAUGGUUGUCGUCAGCUCGUGUCGUGAGAUGUUGGGUUAAGUCCCGCAACGAGCGCAACCCUUGAUCUUAGUUGCCAGCAUUCAGUUGGGCACUCUAAGGUGACUGCCGGUGACAAACCGGAGGAAGGUGGGGAUGACGUCAAAUCAUCAUGCCCCUUAUGACCUGGGCUACACACGUGCUACAAUGGACAGAACAAAGGGCAGCGAAACCGCGAGGUUAAGCCAAUCCCACAAAUCUGUUCUCAGUUCGGAUCGCAGUCUGCAACUCGACUGCGUGAAGCUGGAAUCGCUAGUAAUCGCGGUC